CAUUCACACCCCUAUCUCAAUGUCUCUGUCAGGUAACUGAUUCUGUUGAUCAUUCACACCCCUAUCUCAAUGUCUCUGUCUGGUAACUGAUUCUGUUGAUCAUUCACACCCCUAUCUCAAUGUCUCUGUCUGGUAACUGAUUCUGUUGAUCAUUCACACCCCUAUCUCAAUGUCUCUGUCUGGUAACUGAUUCUGUUGAUCAUUCACACCCCUAUCUCAAUGUCUCUGUCUGGUAACUGAUUCUGUUGAUCAUUCACACCCCUAUCUCAAUGUCUCUGUCUGGUAACUGAUUCUGUUGAUCAUUCACACCCCUAUCUCAAUGU